AUGCCCAGCAUCCAUGGUGACUCCAGGGGACUGCAGUGUGUCCAUGUCCACCGUGCGCCUUGUGUCCUUGGGCUUAGGGGGCAGCUUCUCGGGUGGCUUUGCAGGCGGUAUGGCUGGACACGCUGAGUGGGUGGCAAUGAGAAGGUGACCAUGCAGAACCUGAAUGACCGUCUGGCCUCCUACCUGGACAAGGUACAGAAGCUGGAGGCAGCCAAUGGUGACCCAGAUAGAACUCAAGAUCUGAGACUGGUACCAGAAGCAGGGACCCAUCCCGGCCCGCAACCACAGCCACUACUACAAGACCAUCCAGGACCUGCAGGACAAUAUUCUUGGAGUCACCACUGAGAAUGCCAAGAUCGUCCUGCAGAUCAACAGUGACCAUCUGGCAGCUGAUGACUUCUGGACCAAGUUUGAGACAGAGCAGGCCCUGCACCUAAGCAUGGAGGUUGACAUCAUCAGGUUGUACAAGGUGUUGGACAAGCUGACCCUGGCCAGGACUGAUCUGGAGAUGCAGAUUGAGGGCCUGAAGGAGAAGCUGGCCUGCCUGAAAAAGAACCACAAAGGAAGUCAAUGGCCUGUGGAGUCAGGUGGGUGGCCAGGUCAGCGUGGUGGUGGAUUCCGCCCCAGGCACUGACCUUGCCAAGAUCCUGAGAGGCAUGAGGCGCCAAUACGAGGUCAUGGCGAAGAAGAACAGGAAGGAUGCCGAAGCCUGGUUCACCAGCCAAUCUGAGGAGCUGACCUGGGAGCUUGCUGGCCACACUGAGCAGCUCGAGAUCUGCAGGUCUGAGGUCACUGCCUUGCCAGCCCCACCCCCAGGUACAUGCUGCAUGCUGCAGGGCCUGGAGAUCGAGCUGCCUUCCCAGCUCAGCAUGAAAGCUGCCCUGGAAGGCACCCUGGUGGAGACCGAGGUGCACUUCAGAACCCAGUCAGCACAUAUCCAGGUGCUGAUCGGCAGUGUCGAGGCCUAGCUCAGCCAUGUGCGUACAGACACAGAGUGCCAGAACCUGGAGUAUCAGCAGCUCAUGGGCAUCAAGUUGCAGCUGGAGCAGGAGAUUGACACCUACUGCAGCCUUCUUGAGGGCCAGGAUGCCCACUACCACAACCUGCCUGAGGUCCUUUGA